UACGUAGGGGGCAAGCGUUGUCCGGAUUCAUUGGGCGUAAAGAGCGUGUAGGCGGCCAGGUAGGUCGGUUGUGAAAACUGGAGGCUCAACCUUCAGAGGUCGACCGAAACCAUCUGGCUAGAGUCCGGGAGAGGAGAGUGGAAUUCCUGGUGUAGCGGUGAAAUGCGCAGAUAUCAGGAAGGACACCCGUGGCGAAAGCGGCUCUCUGGAACGGUACUGACGCUGAUGUGCGAAAGCUAGGGGAGCGAACGGG
rnacentral:rRNA from 1 species